AACGAACGCUGGCGGCAUGCCUAUCACAUGCAAGUCGAACGAGACCUUCGGGUCUAGUGGCGCACGGGUGCGUAACGCGUGGUAACCUGCCCUUAGGUUCGGAAUAACUCCCCGAAAGGUGUGCUAAUACCGGAUAAUGUCUUCGGACCAAAGAUUUAUCGCCUUUGGAUGGGCCCGCGUUGGAUUAGCUAGUUGGUAGGGUAAAAGCCUACCAAGGCGACGAUCCAUAGCUGGUCUGAGAGGAUGAUCAGCCACACUGGGACUGAGACACGGCCCAGACUCCUACGGGAGGCAGCAGUGGGGAAUAUUGGACAAUGGGCGAAAGCCUGAUCCAGCAAUGCCGCGUGAGUGAUGAAGGCCUUAGGGUUGUAAAGCUCUUUUACCCGGGAUGAUAAUGACAGUACCGGGAGAAUAAGCUCCGGCUAACUCGGUG
rnacentral:rRNA from 1 species